rfam:Lactobacillus brevis ATCC 367, complete genome.
AGUCCUUUUAAAUUAGUCCCGUGAGGCUAAUAAGGGUCCGGUAGAAUUCAUUGAUGAAAUGAAGCUAGCGGUCUAAAUCCUUGCGGAAUUUGGACCGCUUUUUUUA